rnacentral:RNase_MRP_RNA from 1 species
GUUCGUGCUGAAGGCCUGUUUCCUAGGCUACAAACGGGGGACUGGUUCCUUACUUGCGCCUAGGGGAAAGUCCCCGGACCUUGGGCAGAGAGUGCCGCGUGCGCAUGCACGUAGACCUUCCCUGCGUCUCACGAGUUAGUCCGCCAAGAAGCGAUCCCGCAGCUGGUGGGGGAGCCGAGCGGCGUGUUGGUGGGGGUGUCGUCCGUCUACAUUGAUAGUUACGCAGGCAGUGCGUGUCUCUGCGCGCACCAACCACACGGGGCUCAUUCUCAGCGCGAC